rnacentral:rRNA from 1 species
UAUGUACAUGAUUACAAUGUUAAUGCACCAAUCCCAUCAUAACUUCGUAGUUAAGCAUGCUUGGGAUAGAGUAGUACUAGGAUGGGUGACCUCUCGGGAAGUCCUAGUGGUUUACAUGC